rnacentral:misc_RNA from 1 species
CAGCCACGCAGGCGUGCGCUCGCUGGACCCGAAACUCGAACUCGCUGGCGAUGGCGUGCGGCGGCCGGCGCCCGAUAGCCCGGUGCGGGGCACCGCCGAGGGCGACUUCCCAGCGAUCAAGACAGACUUCGACGGCCAGCCGCGUGCCGGUUCGAUCGAUGUCGGAUGCGAUCAAUUCUCCGACGCGCCGAUCACCAACCGGCCGCUUUCUGCCACGGAUGUUGGCCCGUCGUGGUUGGAUCGUCGCGAUCGGGUAGAACCGCCACACUCCUGAAUUCAUGCCGUUCUUCCGUUUCCUAUUCGCUGCGGUUGCCGUAUCCUGGCUUUUUGCUAGUGCGCUGGCGUUCGAGCCUGGCGGGGUCGCCGCGAUCGACCGCGCGCGCAUUCUGAAGGCCGCCGACGCGGCGCUGAAGCGAGAGCCGAUCAGCAUCA